ACUUUUUAACCACACAAACAUUAAGUGUUUAUGGUGUUUAUGUGAUGUAAACUAAGAGAUUUUAUGAUAAUUAAAAUUAACAGUGUAGUGAAUUAAAAAUGUGAAUAAUAUAAUCGGUAAGAGACAUUUAACAGAGGAGCACAUAGAAGUGCGACCGAGAGAGAAACAAAUUGCUAUCAAUGGUCAGUUAAAAGACGCUGUUGUGACAAACGUACCACAAAUAUGAUCUUAAGUUUUAACCCCCACUCACGACUUGGCGCAUAUGAAUUUACCUUAGUAUGGUGUUUUUGGCGGUUAUACUAGCCACUUGUUGUCUGUAACUACUUGUCAUUGAAUUGUCGGAUUUUUUAGUUAGUUAGUCUGUACGAACACAAGUGAUUCAGCAUACAGUUUCUUGGGUUUAUUUUUUAAUUUUUUAAAUAUAGUAAAUAGCAGUGUAAAUAAUAGUGGUGUAAAUGAAUGUAAAUAAAAAAAAAAAUGGCUAACAAAAUUAAGCUAAAAAAAGACAAUAAAGAUACAUUUUGUCUAGCGUAUAAUCAUGUGUCCGACACACAGAGUGUGAUUGCAUUAGAUAAAAUAUUGAUAGAAGGUGUUCAGGCAAGAGCUGAAGACAUUCAGCCUAAAAAUAAAAAUUCUUCAGUUACAUAUCGAGUGCACGAUGUCAAGAGUCAAAAACUUGAAGUUGUAUCGAUAAUUGAUAUUGGAAACCGUCCUGAUCUGGAGGAAAAAUUAAAAAAAGCAAGAGGACAAGGAAAACGCAGAAAAGUUCCGAAACUCAAAAAUUUGACACCCCUUGCUCGUCCAAACCUGAAGUAAUUGCCAGCACGCCAGUUAAUAAAAUCGACUAAGUCAAUAGCAGCAGCCAACUCUAGAAUAAAGAAAAAAGAGAAAUUGAGACGGAUAGAAGAAGUCGACCAAGCAUUUUAUGAUUUAUUGACUCAAGAGACGACAGGCAAUCAAUUUGUAUUGGAGGAUAUUGAACCUGAUCAUGAAUUGCUGAAUAACAGCAAGGAAAAUGAAAAAAGUGACGAUGAAGAAAAUGAAGUAAGCCAACAGGAGGAAGGCAUAGGAACCGAAGAAGAACAAUUUUUAACCGACAGCGAUCUGUCACAAUUUGAUAAAUCAAAUUCGGUCAACACUGAAGACCACAAUAAUACAAAUCUGAACAGUGAGAGAUUUCAAAAAAUUGACGACAGUAAAAUAAAAAAAUAACCAAGAGGUGAAGAACAACAAUGACAGUACAGUUCAAG